GAUGAACGCUGGCGGCGUGCUUAACACAUGCAAGUCGAGCGAAGCGCUUAAGAAUGAUUCUUCGGAUGAAUUCUUUUGCGACUGAGCGGCGGACGGGUGAGUAACUCGUGGAUAACCUGCCUCAUACAGGGGGAUAACAGUUAGAAAUGACUGCUAAUACCGCAUAAGCGCACAGUGCCGCAUGGCACCGUGUGAAAAACUCCGGUGGUAUGGGAUGGAUCCGCGUUGGAUUAGGCAGUUGGCGGGGUAACGGCCCACCAAACCGACGAUCCAUAGCCGGCCUGAGAGGGUGGACGGCCACAUUGGGACUGAGACACGGCCCAAACUCCUACGGGAGGCAGCAGUGGGGAAUAUUGCACAAUGGGGGAAACCCUGAUGCAGCGACGCCGCGUGAGUGAAGAAGUAAUUCGUUAUGUAAAGCUCUAUCAGCAGGGAAGAAAAUGACGGUACCUGACUAAGAAGCCCCGGCUAACUACGUGCCAGCAGCCGCAGUAACAC
rnacentral:rRNA from 1 species